rnacentral:tRNA from 1 species
CAAGUUUUUCUAAAUAGUUAGAGGUUUCAUUUACAUUGAAAUAUUGAUUGUGCAAGUCAGUCAAAUUUGA